GAUGAACGCUGGCGGCGUGCCUAAUACAUGCAAGUCGAGCGAACGGACGAGAAGCUUGCUUCUCUGAUGUUAGCGGCGGACGGGUGAGUAACACGUGGAUAACCUACCUAUAAGACUGGGAUAACUUCGGGAAACCGGAGCUAAUACCGGCUGAUAUUUUGAACCGCAUGGUUCAAAAGUGAUAGACGGUCUUGCUGUCACUUAUAGAUGGAUCCGCGCUGCAUUAGCUAGUUGGUAAGGUAACGGCCUACCAAGGCAACGAUGCAUAGCCGACCUGAGAGGGUGAUCGGCCACACUGGAACUGAGACACGGUCCAGACUCCUACGGGAGGCAGCAGUAGGGAAUCUUCCGCAAUGGGCGAAAGCCUGACGGAGCAACGCCGCGUGAGUGAUGAAGGUCUUCGGAUCGUAAAACUCUGUUAUUAGGGAAGAACAGAUGUGUAAGUAACUGUGCACAUCUUGACGGUACCUAAUCAGAAAGCCACGGCUAACUACGUG
rnacentral:rRNA from 1 species